rnacentral:rRNA from 1 species
GACGAACGCUGGCGGCGUGCCUAAUACAUGCAAGUCGAACGCACUCUCGUUUAGAUUGAAGGAGCUUGCUCCUGAUUGAUAAACAUUUGAGUGAGUGGCGGACGGGUGAGUAACACGUGGGUAACCUGCCCUAAAGUGGGGGAUAACAUUUGGAAACAGAUGCUAAUACCGCAUAAAACCUAACACCGCAUGGUGUAGGGUUGAAAGAUGGUUUCGGCUAUCACUUUAGGAUGGACCCGCGGUGCAUUAGUUAGUUGGUGAGGUAAAGGCUCACCAAGACCGUGAUGCAUAGCCGACCUGAGAGGGUAAUCGGCCACACUGGGACUGAGACACGGCCCAGACUCCUACGGGAGGCAGCAGUAGGGAAUCUUCCACAAUGGACGAAAGUCUGAUGGAGCAACGCCGCGUGAGUGAAGAAGGUUUUCGGAUCGUAAAACUCUGUUGUUGGAGAAGAAUGUAUCUGAUAGUAACUGAUCAGGUAGUGACGGUAUCCAACCAGAAAA